rnacentral:rRNA from 1 species
AUUGAACGCUGGCGGCAUGCCUUACACAUGCAAGUCGAACGGCAGCACGGGUGCUUGCACCUGGUGGCGAGUGGCGAACGGGUGAGUAAUACAUCGGAACAUGUCCUGUAGUGGGGGAUAGCCCGGCGAAAGCCGGAUUAAUACCGCAUACGAUCUACGGAUGAAAGCGGGGGACCUUCGGGCCUCGCGCCAUAGGGUUGGCCGAUGGCUGAUUAGCUAGUUGGUGGGGUAAAGGCCUACCAAGGCGACGAUCAGUAGCUGGUCUGAGAGGACGACCAGCCACACUGGGACUGAGACACGGCCCAGACUCCUACGGGAGGCAGCAGUGGGGAAUUUUGGACAAUGGGCGAAAGCCUGAUCCAGCAAUGCCGCGUGUGCGAAGAAGGCCUUCGGGUUGUAAAGCACUUUUGUCCGGAAAGAAAUCCUUGGCCCUAAUACGGUCGGGGGAUGACGGUACCGGAAGAAUAAGCACCGGCUAACUACGUG